UAUGGAGGGUGCGAGGGUUAAUCGGAAUUACUGGGCGUAAAGCGUGCGCAGGCGGUUUCGUAAGACAGAUGUGAAAUCCCCGGGCUUAACCUGGGAACUGCGUUUGUGACUGCGAGACUCGAGUGUGGCAGAGGGGGGUGGAAUUCCACGUGUAGCAGUGAAAUGCGUAGAGAUGUGGAGGAACACCGAUGGCGAAGGCAGCCCCCUGGGUUGACACUGACGCUCAUGCACGAAAGCGUGGGUAGCAAACAGG
rnacentral:rRNA from 1 species